GCCGCGAAUUCGCCCUUAGAGUUUGAUCAUGGCUCAGGACGAACGCUGGCGGCGUGCCUAAUACAUGCAAGUCGAACGCUUCUUUUCCCACCGGAGCUUGCUCCACCGGGAAAAGAGGAGUGGCGAACGGGUGAGUAACACGUGGGUAACCUGCCCAUCAGAAGGGGAUAACACUUGGAAACAGGUGCUAAUACCGUAUAACAAUCGAAACCGCAUGGUUUCGGUUUGAAAGGCGCUUUACGGUGCCGCUGAUGGAUGGACCCGCGGUGCAUUAGCUAGUUGGUGAGGUAACGGCUCACCAAGGCCACGAUGCAUAGCCGACCUGAGAGGGUGAUCGGCCACAUUGGGACUGAGACACGGCCCAAACUCCUACGGGAGGCAGCAGUAGGGAAUCUUCGGCAAUGGACGAAAGUCUGACCGAGCAACGCCGCGUGAGUGAAGGAGGUUUUCGGAUCGUAAAACUCUGUUGUUAGAGAAGAACAAGGGUGAGAGUAACUGUUCACCCCUUGACGGUAUCUAACCAGAAAGCCACGGCUAACUACGUGCCAGCANCCGCGGUAAUACGUACGUGGCAAGCGUUGUCCGGAUUUAUUGGGCG
rnacentral:rRNA from 1 species